rnacentral:rRNA from 1 species
UACGAAGGGGGCUAGCGUUGCUCGGAAUCACUGGGCGUAAAGCGCACGUAGGCGGAUUGUUAAGUCAGGGGUGAAAUCCUGGAGCUCAACUCCAGAACUGCCUUUGAUACUGGCGAUCUCGAGUCCGGGAGAGGUGUGUGGAACUGCGAGUGUAGAGGUGAAAUUCGUAGAUAUUCGCAAGAACACCAGUGGCGAAGGCGGCUCACUGGCCCGGUACUGACGCUGAGGUGCGAAAGCGUGGGGAGCAAACAGG